rnacentral:snoRNA from 1 species
AACCUGUGAUGAGGGCACUUUCUUAAUAAGUCCUUGAAUCUUUCCUAAGUUUCGUACAAACUCUCUUGAUCAUGGUGGACAAGGGUCAUUAUCUCAUUGCACAAUUUU